rnacentral:rRNA from 1 species
UGGGGGAUAUUGCACAAUGGGCGAAAGCCUGAUGCAGCGACGCCGCGUGGGGGAUGAAGGCUUUCGGGUUGUAAACCUCUUUCGCUAUCGAACAAGGCCCGCUUAGGGUGGGUUGAGGGUAGGUGGAGAAGAAGCGCCGGCUAACUACGUGCCAGCAGCCGCGGUAAUACGUAGGGCGCGAGCGUUGUCCGGAAUUAUUGGGCGUAAAGGGCUUGUAGGCGGCUUGUUGCGCCUGCUGGGGAAACGCGGGGGUUAACUGCGCGCGUGCAGUGGGUACGGGCAGGCUUGAGUGUGGUAGGGGUGACUGGAAUUCCAGGUGUAGCGGUGGAAUGCGCAGAUAUCUGGAGGACCACCGAUGGCGAAGGCAGGUCACUGGGCCAUUACUGACGCUGAGGAGCGAAAGCAUGGGUAGCGAACAGG